UACAGAGGGGGCAAGCGUUAUUCGGAAUUAUUGGGCGUAAAGGGCGCGUAGGCGGCUUGGCAAGUGGAUGGUGAAAUCCCUCGGCCUAACCGAGGAACUGCCGUCCAAACUGCUUCGCUUGAGACCGGGAGAGGUGAGUGGAAUUCCCAGUGUAGCGGUGAAAUGCGUAGAUAUUGGGAGGAACACCAGUGGCGAAGGCGGCUCACUGGACCGGUACUGACGCUGAUGCGCGAAAGCGUGGGGAGCAACGGG
rnacentral:rRNA from 1 species